rnacentral:rRNA from 1 species
CCUACGGGAGGCAGCAGUGAGGAAUAUUGGUCAAUGGCCGGAAGGCUGAACCAGCCAAGCCACGUGAAGGACGAAGGUGCCAAGCAUUGUAAACUUCUUUUGUCAAGGGACAAAAUCAGGCUCGAGAGCCUGACCGAGGGUACUUGAAGAAAAAGCAUCGGCUAACUCCGUGCCAGCAGCCGCGGUAAUACGGAGGAUGCGAGCGUUAUCGGGAUUUAUUGGGGUUAAAGGGUGCGUAGGCGGACUGUUAAGUCAGCGGGAAAAGCCCGGGGCGCAACCCCGGCGAGCCGUUGAAACUGGCGGUCUUGAGAUGUCGAGAGGUAUGCGGAAUGCGCAGUGUAGCGGUGAAAUGCGUAGAUAUUGCGCAGAACUCCGAUUGCGAAGGCAGCAUACCGGCGGCGAACUGACGCUGAGGCACGAAAGCGUGGGUAGCGAACAGGAUUAGAUACCCGAGUAGUC